AGGAUAACGAAACAAGCCGCUUAUAUACGUGUAUAUAUAUAUAUAUAUUUAAAGACGUUCCAAGGCUAGAAAGGUAGGUGUGUAUCGACCAAGCCAAGUUCUCAAUGAGCAGUUUCAUUAUCGUCUUAGCAACGAUCAUUGCUGCGUCAGCUAUACCUACGCACGAAGCCGCGUAUCCAUCCAAUACUAUAAAAUAUAUUAGUUUACGACAAAACGCUUCGAGUUUCAUAAUAAUGCAGACAAGUGGGACGAAACGAUUCAAGAUUAUAUCAAUUGGAAAAAACUGUAAAGAAAAAGCGUAAGGAUAAAAGCGAGCUAAGAGACGUGGAGUCUCGAUUCGUUGCUCGUACGUAGUCGAAAAGGAUCGGUUGUCACGAGAGCUAGUGAAGUGUAGUUUCCUAGGCGGAUCAAUCAAGAGGCAACGAUGAAAGCGUUAUGUAUGCCUCGUCAGCCACGUCGGUACGACGCACAUUUUUUUCGAGUCAUCCCGCGAUCGAGACUCUCUUUUUAUUCACUUGCGAUGGAUGGAUGAAUCGUCGAAGGCACACACUCGAGGAAAACGAGCACCGGUAAAUAAAAAAAAAAAAAAAAAAUUGGA